rnacentral:rRNA from 1 species
ACCAGACUCCUACGGGAGGCAGCAGUGGGGAAUAUUGGGCAAUGGGCGCAAGCCUGACCCAGCAACGCCGCGUGAAGGAAGAAGGCUUUCGGGUUGUAAACUUCUUUUGACAGGGAAGAGUAGAAGACGGUACCUGUCGAAUAAGCCACGGCUAACUACGUGCCAGCAGCCGCGGUAAUACGUAGGGGGCAAGCGUUAUCCGGAUUCACUGGGUGUAAAGGGAGCGUAGACGGCGACGCAAGUCUGGAGUGAAAGCCCGGGGCCCAACCCCGGGACUGCUCUGGAAACUGCGUCGCUGGAGUACGGGAGGGGCAGGCGGAAUUCCUGGUGUAGCGGUGAAAUGCGUAGAUAUCAGGAGGAACACCGGCGGCGAAGGCGGCCUGCUGGACCGUGACUGACGUUGAGGCUCGAGAGCGUGGGGAGCAAACAGGAUUAGAUACCCGAGUAAG